rnacentral:rRNA from 1 species
ACGUAGGGUGCGAGCGUUAAUCGGAAUCACUGGGCGUAAAGGGCGCGUAGGUGGCGGCAUAAGGCUGUGGUGAAAGUCUGGGGCUCAACUCCAGAUCGGCCGCGGCGACUGUGUCGCUUGGGCACCGUAGAGGCAGAUGGAAUUCCGGGUGUAGCGGUGGAAUGCGUAGAGAUCCGGAAGAACACCGGUGGCGAAGGCGGCCUGCUGGGCAGUUACUGACACUGAGGCGCGACAGCGUGGGGAGCAAACAGGA